CAGCAGGCGCGAAAACUUUGCAAUGCGGGAAACCGUGACAAGGGAACUCUGGGUGCCCGUUAAAUCGGGCUGUCCAUCGGUUUAAAUAACCGGUGAAGAAAGGGCCGGGCAAGACCGGUGCCAGCCGCCGCGGUAAUACCGGCGGCUCGAGUGGUGGCCACUAUUACUGGGCUUAAAGCGUUCGUAGCUGGUUUGUUAAGUCUCUGGGGAAAUCUUCCGGCUUAACCGGAAGGCGUCUCAGGGAUACUGGCAGACUAGGGACCGGGAGAGGUGAGAGGUACUCCAGGGGUAGGAGUGAAAUCCUGUAAUCCUUGGGGGACCACCUGUGGCGAAGGCGUCUCACCAGAACGGCUCCGACAGUGAGGGACGAAAGCUGGGGGAGCAAACCGGAUUAGAUACCCGGGUAGUCCCAGCUGUAAACGAUGUGCGUUAGGUGUAUCGGUGACCACGAGUCACCGAGGUGCCGAAGAGAAAUCGUGAAACGUACCGCCUGGGAAGUACGGUCGCAAGGCUGAAACUUAAAGGAAUUGGCGGGGGAGCAC
rnacentral:rRNA from 1 species